GAUGAACGCUAGCGGCAGGCUUAAUACAUGCAAGUCGAGGGGCAGCAUGAAUGUAGCAAUACAUUUGAUGGCGACCGGCAAACGGGUGCGGAACACGUACACAACCUUCCUAUAAGUGGGGAAUAGCCCAGAGAAAUUUGGAUUAAUACCCCGUAACAUAAUGAUGUGGCAUCACAUUAUUAUUAUAGCUACGGCGCUUAUUGAUGGGUGUGCGGCUGAUUAGAUAGUUGGCGGGGUAGCGGCCCACCAAGUCUACGAUCAGUAGCUGAUGUGAGAGCAUGAUAAGCCACACGGGCACUGAGACACGGGCCCGACUCCUACGGGAGGCAGCAGUAAGGAAUAUUGGUCAAUGGACGCAAGUCUGAGCCAGCCAUGCCGCGUGAAGGAUUAAGGUCCUCUGGAUUGUAAACUUCUUUUAUCUGGGACGAAAAAAGGCUAUUCUUAGUCACUUGACGGUACCAGAUGAAUAAGCACCGGCUAACUCCGUGCCAGCAGCCGCCGUAA
rnacentral:rRNA from 1 species